rnacentral:lncRNA from 1 species
GCAGAAGCAAGGUGGCCUAGGUAGCAGUUCCUGAGUGUGUCCUGAGCUCCUGUCCAGAGUCCUCCUGUGUUUCUGGGCUUCAUCUGACCUAGUGAAAAAGGAAGCACUCCUGUCCUGUGCUUCUCCUGUCUGCAGCAGGUCAGUGUCCUCUGUGAGAAGGACUUGCUCAGGAGGACUACAUGGACUGUGUACCAGAGUGUCCUAGGCCACACCCUGCCUCUGUCCUCCUUGAUAGUGGCUGCAAGGCCUUUCCCAUCCCUCAUGGACUCCUAGAUGGCUGAACUCCAGUAUGAGCUGGAUCUCUCAUUCUCAGGUAGGUGGCCACAAAACCAGGCAGGGGUUCCAGCCAGAGAGGAAAGCCCAGUGAGGAGCAACAGGGUCUCUGUCCCACUGAAGGACUCAGCCCUUUGCACAUCCCAGCUACAGUUUCUGUAGGCUGUAUCCUGGGUUGGUGUCACAGGACCCUGGGCAUGAGCUGAAGGUAGCCUCAGAUUUACCCUCAAUAGGAGCCCUG